rnacentral:rRNA from 1 species
GAUGAACGCUGGCGGCGUGCCUAAUACAUGCAAGUCGAGCGAACAGAUCAGGAUCUUGCUCCUCUGACGUUAGCGGCGGACGGGAGAGUAACACGUGUAUAACCUACCUAUAAUACUGGGAUAACUUCGGGAAACCGGAGCUAAUACCGUAGAAUAUAUUGAACCGCAUGGUUCAAUAGUGAAAGUCGGUUUUGCUGGCUCUUAUAGAUGCAUCUGCGCCGCAUUAGCUAGUUGUGAAGGUAACGGGUUACCAAGGCAACGAUGCGUAGCCGAGGGGAGAGGGGGAUAGGCCGCCCUGGAGCUGGGCCGCGGUCAAGAGGACUAAGGGAGGCAGCAGUCGGGAAUCUUAGGCAAUGGGCGAAAGUAUGACGGAGCAACGCGACGUGAGUGAUGGCGGUGCUCGGAUCGUAAAACUCUGUUAUUAGGGAAAAACAAAUGUGUAAGUAAAUAAGGCGGUAGUGACGGUAAUUAGUAAGAAAGCACCGGCUAACUACGUG